GAUGAACGCUGGCGGCGUGCCUAAUACAUGCAAGUCGAGCGAACGGACGAGAAGCUUGCUUUUCUGAUGUUAGCGGCGGACGGGUGAGUAACACGUGGAUAACCUACCUAUAAGACUGGGAUAACUUCGGGAAACCGGAGCUAAUACCGGAUAAUAUUUUGAACUGCAUGGUUCAAAAGUGAAAGACGGGCUUGCUGUCACUUAUAGAUGGAUCCGCGCUGCAUUAGCUAGUUGGUAAGGUAACGGCUUACCAAGGCAACGAUGCAUAGCCGACCUGAGAGGGUGAUCGGCCACACUGGAACUGAGACACGGUCCAGACUCCUACGGGAGGCAGCAGUAGGGAAUCUUCCGCAAUGGGCGAAAGCCUGACGGAGCAACGCCGCGUGAGUGAUGAAGGUCUUCGGAUCGUAAAACUCUGUUAUUAGGGAAGAACAUAUGUGUAAGUAACUGUGCACAUCUUGACGGUACCUAAUCAGAAAGCCACGGCUAACUACGUG
rnacentral:rRNA from 1 species